AUGGCGACGGUUCCUCACGCCAACGGAAACCCCAAACUUCUGCGCUGGCUCAGCGGAGGCCGCUUUUAUAGUCACUCGCCUUUGCCAUGCAGCGCAGGCGCGCUGGAGCCCGGACCGCGCUCGCCGAGCCUGCAGGUUCCCGACUUCCGGUUCCGAGGCGACCCCGAGGCCAGACUGAGACUAAUGGCGGCGUCCAUGAAGCAAGCCACCGGAGGCGUUGAAGAGACCGCGGCGGAAGAGGAACCGCGAGUUCUGGAACCCGGGGCCGCCCCAUUCGGAAAUUUCCCUCAUUAUUCCCGCUUCCACCCUCCAGAGCAACGGCUCCGCCUCCUGCCUCCAGAGCUGCUUCGCCGGCUCUUCCCUCAGAGUCCAGAGACAAGGCCGAUCCUGGGGCUCGACGUGGGGUGUAACUCCGGGGAUCUGAGUGUGGCUCUAUACAAACAUUUCCUUUCCCUACAUGAUGGGGAGACCUGCUCAGAUGCCUCAAGAGAGCUACGUCUCCUCUGCUGCGACAUAGAUCCAGUCCUGGUGGAACGAGCUGAAAAAGAAUGCCCUUUUCCUGAUGGCUUGACCUUUAUCACCCUGGACUUCAUGAAUCACAGGACCCGGAAAGUUCUCUUGAGCUCUUUCUUAAGCCAGUUUGGAUGCUCAGUUUUUGAUAUUGGCUUCUGCAUGUCAAUAACCAUGUGGAUUCAUCUGAACCAUGGGGACCAAGGCCUUUGGGAGUUCCUGGCCCACCUUUCUUCCCUGUGCUGCUACCUCCUUGUGGAACCACAGCCCUGGAAGUGUUAUCGGGCAGCUGCAAGGCGUCUCCGGAAGCUGGGCCUCCAUGAUUUUGACCACUUCCGCUCCCUAGCUAUCCGAGGUGAUAUGGCUAAUCAGAUUGUGCAGAUCUUGACCCAGGACCAUGGCAUGGAAUUAGUAUGCUGCUUUGGCAACACCAGUUGGGACCGAAGCCUUCUGCUCUUCAGAGCAAAACAAGCCACAGAGACUCAUCCGAUCCCUGAAUCACUGAUAGAAGAAGGGAAAGAAAGGAACAGAAUAAGAUUCUGGAGACAAUGAGAUGGGAGGGAGGAUAGAGAUAUUGAAAGAGGUUUAUACAAAGAAUUAAGUUCAUUCUCCUUAACUCCUGAUAGUUAGGCAGCUUUAAAACUUGGCAGAAGCUUUUUAAAUGUCCAGGACAUGCAAUUAAAAGAAUCAGUAUCUUCCUCAUUUGGGGGGAUGAUCCCUGAGGAGAAUAUACCUGUGAGGCAAUGAUCUGUCCUAUCUGGAAUGACCUAGAGAAAGUGACCCUGGUUCUGGGAUAUGCAAGGGGCUGCUUUUGGUGGUUAUUUAGGAAGACUUAGACCAGGUUAGCCUUAGAAUGUCCCUUCCCUGGGCUCCUUAAAUCUGAUCUGCCUUCAGGCUUCUUCUAGACUUACUCAUCCUGUCUAUGAGACAAAACCUCACAAUACAAUCUGGAAUGAAAGGUCAUUGGCCUGGCUAAAGGAGAAGCUUUGGUAGGAAGAACAUCUUUCCAGAGCAGGUCAAGUUUCCAACAUGCCCAGGCUGAGCACAGCAGUUACAGAUACAGUACUAACCAAGAUGCAUCGACUAGCAUUUAAAAGAUGUUUAAAAGAUUAAAUUAUGAACUCAAAAUCCAACCGGUACAAAUGGGAUGAAUGAAGUGGGAUUGUAUAGAAUAUAUACAAUUAUAUUUUAUAUAUAAUAAAAGUGACUUGAGUAUGGUUGAGAAUGCCCUGUGAAUCUGGAGUAGGAAAGAAAUUUCUGCCUUUAACCACUCUACCCAUGGAGGUUUCAACUCAAGAAAAGGAACCUCACCCAAGCUCAAAACAGAAAACAUGCCAGCGAGAACAGGAAACUAACACAGGGACUCUGACUACAAUGAGACUAGGCUACAAGCCAAGCAGCACCAGUCUCAAAUAACUCCUGAUGGCAGAAAACAGCCACAGUGACCAAAGGAAUAGGCUGGGCUCCAUCUACAUGGGUAACUGAGGAAUCUUCGAUCAGUAAAAGCUUCGGGAGAUCCUUCAGCAUCUGAACCUGACCUCUUCCCUCCAACAUUUCUGUUGGCUGAGCAGUUACCUGACGUGUUGGGAGGAACUGUUGUAUUUGAAGUCUGUUGCUGUUAGUUUCAAAAAAGAUGUGUAAAUAGUGCUUAUAACGAUGAGGUCUCGGUACCAAGAAGGUAAUGAUUGUGUAAUGGCCUAGGAGAGCCGUUGGAGAUGGUAAGAAUAUCUUUGGCUUCAAGAAAAGAUCAUCUUUAUCUAUCCUCAAAACAGCCUAAUUUGGGAACCAACACCAAACAUGACAAGAGACUUACUGAGGGACAAGAAUGAAGAAUGGUCCUGGAUAUACUUUAAAUAUAUAGAUAUGUAAUCCAGUAUAUUAAAAAAUUAGCAUUUCAACAUGCAGUCAAUAUAAAAAUUAUUAAUGAGAUAUAUUAUUUUUUUAAUACCAUCUUCAAAAACUAGUGUGUAUUUUAUACUUACAGCUCAUCUCACUCUGGACUGGCCACAUUUCAGAUGCUUAUUAGCCACAUGUGGCUAAUGCUGCACAUUUAUGGCAAAUCAAAAAGUAAUUUAUCAAGUUCCUUCCAUAUACCCAGCAUGCUUUUAGCUGCUGUGGAGGGUAAAGAAAAAUCACUUAAACAAACCGGGACUUCUAAAGGUUAGACUUGAUUCUUUUAGCAACUAUGUUAAAGUUGAGGAGAAAAGGAGAGGCUCAUACAUGGUAGCAUGUGAUCAUGUGAGCUUCAGAAAAGGAAAAAUCUUUGUGGACUACAGUGGGCAUGGAAGAAUUUCUGGAGCGUAUGGGAUUUGAGCUGUCUCUGAAAGUCAUAUCUGCAGGUUCUGCAUCCACAGAUUUAACCAACCAUGGAUCAAAACUAUUUGGGGAAAAAAAUUCCAGAAAGUUCCAAAAAGCAAAACUUGAAUUUGCUGUGCACCUCCAGCAUAGCAUUUACAUCGUACUUACAACUAUUUAUGUAGCAUUUACAUUAUAUUAGUUAUUAUAUGUAAUCUAGAGAUGAUUUAAAGUAUAAGGGAGGAUGUGCAUAGGUUAUAUGCAAAUAGUACAUUUUAUAUGAGGAACUUGAGCAUCCAUGGAUUUUGGUAUCAAUUGGGGUCUUGGAACCAAUUGCCUAUGGCUUCCAAGGGACAGCUGUAUAGCUUUUGCAAUGAUAACAAGAGGGACAGGAGUAUGCCCUAUGAGCCACGUAGAGAGGAACCUCUCUGCAAAGGUACACAGGAAUGUGUGUUUUGUACAUUGAAAACAGAAAGGACUGGCUGGUCUAGAAUGGAGAUGUCAUUCUGAGCAGCAGUGAAAAAUAACAGUGGUCUUUGCCAUUUAAAUAGAUUCUGGAUGGAAUAUUUAUUAUUUUAAAAUAUCUUAAAAUUAAUUUUUAUUAGGGUAUGGUUGCUUUACAGUGUUGUGUUAGUUUCUGCUAUACAGCUAUACAUAUACAUAUAUCCCCUCUUUUUUGGAAUUCCUCCCCAUUUAGGUCACCACAGAGCAUUGAGUAGA